AUGGGCUGGGCAGGGGGCCGGUACUCGGUCUGGGACACGCCUCUGGGGACUUUCUCCUUCAGAGUGGUUUCCUGUUGCGCUGCAUUCCUGGUGGACCCUGUCUCCCUGCUUUCCUGGCAGAGCUUGGCUGGAGGGCAUGGCGGGAGCUAAUUGAAGCCGUGGCUUGUGGCUUGUGCCUUGCUCAGCCAGAUUGCAAAGGCAGCUGCGGGAAGGAGGUUAACCGGGGUGCUCUCCCAGCAGCCCACGCUGGCCACACCCUCCCUGGCGGUGUGGCUGUGAGUUUGCCAAUACCUGGGGGACAGGGCGGGAGGGGGGCGUCUGAGACUCUGGCCCCUGAAGAGCCUGCAGACCGAGAAGUGGGAGCCACAGUGCUGGAAUAACAGAAGCACACUGUGAGCAGGGGGUCACAGGUGCCCAAGGACACGACUGGCCAUCGGACAACAGGACCGGAUCUGAAGCCAGGUCUAGAAAACUCCAUCCCUCUGCCUGCCCGUUGUGGCUUCGCCUGCUGGCCAGGGACCCAGUCUGGCACCUGUGCAGAGCAAACAGGUUGGGUACAGAAGCACUAAGUUGUCUGCAUGCAAACACACACACAAAGCACAGGUAAUGAUGGUGGUAGUGAUGGUGAGGGUGAGGGUGACUGGUGGUGGUGAUGAUGGUGAUGGUGGUGUUUAGGGUGGUGGUGGAGACACUGACAGGAGGAAGAAGUAGAGGCAGAGGGAGUUUCCCAAAAACAGUGUUAGGAUCAUUGCCACACACACACCCCUCCUCUUGAUCCCUAGGAAAUCUAAUUGCAGGGUAGCCGUCUUUAGCCUACGCAGAAGGCUCUCUGACAGCUCCAGCCUUCGCUGUGCUGGCCACCCUUUAAUUAGUCACCACACUCCACACCCUGGUCCCUGAACACUUGGACUAAGGAACACCCCUGCCCCCCGGCCUGAACAGACUGACUCAUUCCAGAAGCAGCUACCGGGCGUAGAGCUGCAUCAGCUGCGUGCAGGACACGGACGGGGAUGUCGAGGGCGCCCUCUUUCCUCUCUAGAAGUCAACAGGACUGGAGGAGACAAGAUACAGCCACAGCAAAGCUGUUCCACUGCUGUCCCUGCUGUGGCUUUAGCUCUACACGCCGGUGUUGGAUAACGUGCAUUCAGCAAGCUGUUGGUGAAACUCUGGUUCAAAAUAAAACCAAACAGACUAGGCACAGGCAGGUGGCCUCGUGGUUAGCAUGCCCACACCCCCACAUUGGAGAACCUGGCUCCAGGUUCCUGCUAAAGCAGACCCUGGGCAGCUUAAGUAAUUGGGUUCCUGCCACCUACUUGGGAGACCUGAAGUGUGUUCCCGGCUUCUGGCCUUGGCCCUGAUCCAACCCCAGCCAUUGUAAACAUUCAAAGAAGAAGAAACCAGUGGAUUGGAGCUCUGUGUGCAUGUGUGGGUGUGUGCACCUACCAAAUAAAAAUAUUAAAGCUUAAAAAUAAAUAAGUAAAUAAAACAGAAUUUAAAAAAAAAA